rfam:Flavobacterium sp. LPB0076 LPBF38, whole genome shotgun sequence.
UACUUUUGCAGCCGUCCUACAAUAGCUGUAGUACAUACAUAAAAAUCAUUAAAUAAAUAUUGGAAUG